rnacentral:rRNA from 1 species
ACUCCUACGGGAGGCAGCAGUGGGAAUAUUGGACAAUGGGCGAAAGCCUGAUCCAGCAAUGCCGCGUGUGUGAAGAAGGCCUUAGGGUUGUAAAGCACUUUCAGCAGGGAAGAAAAGCUCGGGGAUAAUACCCCGGCCCGUCAUCGGUACCUGCAGAAGAAGCACCGGCUAACUCCGUGCCAGCAGCCGCGGUAAUACGGAGGGUGCAAGCGUUAAUCGGAAUUACUGGGCGUAAAGCGCGCGUAGGUGGUUUGGUAAGUCGGAUGUGAAAGCCCC